GAGUUUGAUCCUGGCUCAGAUUGAACGCUGGCGGCAUGCCUUACACAUGCAAGUCGAACGGUAACAGGUCUUCGGAUGCUGACGAGUGGCGAAUGGGUGAGUAAUACAUCGGAACGUGCCCGAUCGUGGGGGAUAACGGAGCGAAAGCUUUGCUAAUACCGCAUACGAUCUACGGAUGAAAGCAGGGGACCGCAAGGCCUUGCGCGGACGGAGCGGCCGAUGGCAGAUUAGGUAGUUGGGUGGAUAAAAGCUUACCAAGCCGACGAUCUGUAGCUGGUCUGAGAGGACGACCAGCCACACUGGGACUGAGACACGGCCCAGACUCCUACGGGAGGCAGCAGUGGGAAUUUUGGACAAUGGGCGAAAGCCUGAUCCAGCCAUGCCGCGUGCAGGAUGAAGGCC
rnacentral:rRNA from 1 species